AACGAAUGCUGGCGGCAGGCUUAACACAUGCAAGUCGAACGAACUCUUCGGAGUGAGUGGCAGACGGGUUAGUAACACGUGGGAACCUACCCUUUAGUACGGAAUAACGUCGAGAAAUUGACGCUAAUACCGUAUACGCCCUUCGGGGGAAAGAUUUAUCGCUAAAGGAUGGGCCCGCGGCUGAUUAGGUAGAUGGUGGGGUAAUGGCCUACCAUGCCGACGAUCAGUAGCUGGUUUGAGAGGAUGAUCAGCAACACUGGAACUGAGACACGGUCCAGACUCCUACGGGAGGCAGCAGUGGGGAAUAUUGGACAAUGGGCGCAAGCCUGAUCCAGCCAUGCCGCGUGAGUGAUGAAGGCCUUAGGGUUGUAAAACUCUUUCGAUGGUGAAGAUAAUGACGGUAACCAUUAAAGAAGCCCCGGCUAAUUUCGUGCCAGCCGCCGCGGUAACAC
rnacentral:rRNA from 1 species